AUAGAUGUACAACUAAAAUAUG
rnacentral:siRNA from 1 species